AGGAAUGUAUAGCAAUAGCUAGUUGCAUCAUUGAAAAGGUGAUGUAAGAUCGACUAUGUUGAAUAAAAUUCUAGGUAGAAUUAUGAUAAUGACAUUGUCUGCCUAUGUGUCUUGACCAAAUUACGUGCCAGCAGUCGCGGUAAUACGUAGAAGACUAGUGUUAUUCAUGUUUAAUCGGUUUAAAGGGUACCUAGACGGCGAAUCAAGCUUUCAUAAUAAUAAAAGGACUAAUUCGCUAGAGUUACUUGCGAGGGGGCUAUAAAGUACUGGUGGUGUAGAGAUGAAAUUCUGUCAUACCUCUUUUCGAAAGAAUCAUGGCACAGGUAUAGGCGAAGGCAUCCCCUUAUGUGAUAACUGACGUUGAGGGACGAAGGCUUUGUGUAGCGAACAGGAUUAGAUACCCCAAUAGUCGAAGCAGAAAAUGAUGAAUGUCAUAGAUUAGAUAUAUAAGUUUAUUCUAUAAAUGAAAGUGUAAGCAUUCCACCUCAAGAGUAAUUUGGCAACAUUGGAACUGAAAUCAUUAGACCGUUUCUGAAACCAGUAGUGAAGUAUGUUGUUUAAUUUGACGACCCGCAAAAAACCUUACCACAGCUUGAAUAUUUAUAUUUUUUAUUGUAUUUUUGUUAAGAUUACUUCUGACUGCUUUGCAAAAUGAAGAUAUACAGUAAUGUAAUAAGUUGAAGAAGAAUAUUAAAAAGGAGGCAAUAAGAUAUAUUUACAAGCGUUGCACGGCUGUCUUCAGUUAAUGUCGUGAGACUUUGGUUAGUUCCAUUAAAUUAACGUAAACCCUUACUUUAUUUUUAUAUAGAGUAGUUCCCCGCUAUAUUGGAUAUGAU
rnacentral:rRNA from 1 species